AUGGUUGUUAACCUAUCCGGCCGAUUUUAUUUGGAGAAAGGCAUUGAGGAACGCCUAGGGAAAGAAUUUCUUGACAGAAUAAAUAAGGAAGGUUACAUUGAUGUCACAAACAAGUCAGGAAAUGUUUUAUACAGGGUAACAAAAGAGAGCUUGAUGGAACGACUGAACACUGACAUGCGUGCAACAAGCCUCUCCAUUAGCAAGGAAUGCAGCUUCUUCAUAGUUCAUGGUUCUGCUGAUGAGAUCAUUCCCGUGGAAGAUGCAUAUGAGUUUGCAAAGCAUAUACCGACCCACAAACUGUGUGUCAUCGAGGGAGCAGAUCACUGCUACACCAGACAUCGUAAAGAACUUUCUGAUGCUGUAGUGGGUUUCAUUACAUCCAACAAGACCAGUGAUACCACGCUAGAAGAUCAAUGA
rnacentral:rRNA from 1 species